UUAUAAAUAAAUAAAUAAAUAAAUAAAUAAUGCACACAGCAGAGGAAGGUUUAGUUGGCCAGGAUCCCUCUGUUAAUCGCUAUCUAGCGGAUGUCAAAGCUGCAUACGAAAGGUCUUCCUCUGCCUCCACUCUGCGAGCUUAGCUGCAGCCUGCAGUGUGGCAUACUGUAGGCAGAUAGUGCACUAAUCGAUUAUUAAUGACUGGUUGACAGCUGCUGUUAAUUCAACAUGCAGCUGUAGAAAUCUGAGUCAAAAUUGUUAUAACAGCGGGUAAAUUCAGUUCUGGAAAUGGCUGUAUUAGUUCCAAAUGGAAGGCCAUCUGUGAACUGUUCGAAAAAGUGUCUUGCAGCAAAGCCACUAGAACACACAACAAAAUGUUUGCACCUUUGGAGGGUAAUGGGCGGAGUAUGGCACCUGCAGACCAAUGACAAAGGCCUGAGGUAAAAAUGACAGGAGCAUAAGUUCCUUUGUCCGACCACAUAUUUGCUAUAUAUACAUGUGGGUUCAUAUUUUCCACAAAAGGCUUUGUCGAGAGAAUCGCAAUGGACAUCAAAACAUAUCACACCAUCUCUAUACUGCUCUGUCUUUUCUCGGGAGAGAACUGCUAUCAAACAGUGUACGGUAAGAUGGGAGAAAACGUAUACCUACAUCUACGGAAGUCAGACGGAAAGUCUUUUUCUAAAUUUCUAUGGUGGCAUAAAAAUAUACUUAUAGCCAAGACAGCAAGUUCUAUUAACACUUCUACAGAGGUUUUUAGUAAUGGAACACUGAAACUGCAUAAUGUCAGGAGAAACUGCAGUGGAGUUUAUAUUGUUAGUGCCUAUGAUGCCCAAGGCGUGGUCCAUCUGAAGGAGAGCUCUCACUUGGUUCUGAUUGAUCCUCCGGUGGUUGAGCUUGUUGCCUGUAUCCUGGGAGCUUCUGUGUUACACUGUGCGGGGGAAAACGGUCCUGAUGCCGUGUACGAGUGGAGGGUCAGUGUCCAGAACCAGGGACGUCUAAAGGUCUCCAAUCAUACAGGGAAAUUUGUGACUCUGGACUAUUCAACUGGAAACAUCUCCUGCUCUCUGAUAAUGGAAAACUACAGGAGUCAGAGUGCGUCUUAUUCCCUGUCCUGUGCAGGGUCUGCUUGGUUGGUUCCAGAAACACAGUUGUGUGUCAGUCUCGGGGUCACUGUCAUGCUGGUCCUUCUUUGCUUCAUGACAUGUGGAAUUUCAGUUGGUGUACAAAUAUGCCGCAAGCGACAGAAUUCAAAUGAGAAGUCUGAAGGAUCUGGUCCCUUUCUUGAGAUGACCCAUGUAUUGUUCACAGUGAAGUCAGAUUUGGAAAAUGACAAAUAACUUUUUCAUCCCUUUUAUUAAUAAAUCACUGUAAAAGUCUAUUUCAUUAAAACAAAAAUGCUGUCUAUUUCAGAAAACAACAAAGUAUUCUAUCUUCAUAACAAAAAUUUAAUAUUUAGAAAGUAGUAAUUCUGUACUUUUGUAUUUUUAAGAAUAAAGGAUGUUACUUUCACAU